rnacentral:lncRNA from 1 species
UAUAGACUAUACUGAAAUAAAAUUACAACAAUGGAUGAUACUGUUACUAUUAGUUCUUGUACAACAACUGUUACUAUUAGUUACUAUUAGUUACUAUUAGUUCUUGUACUACUAGCUUAAUCUUCGCAUUGAACUGUUUUUUUAACAUUCUCAUCUAUGCUACGUUGCUUUUGGUUUUAUCUCCAACCAUCAUUCCUGCAUGUGUACACUGCAUCCAAGAAUCAGAGAUCAAAUCAGUCGAAAUGUAGUAUAGAUGUAAAUAUUAAAGUUUUUUUUUUCUCUUUUUUUUUUCUCUCUCCAAAGAUGAAGUUACUAGUUUGAAAAGUUAUAUAGUGUUGGAUAAUAACUGUAGUUGAAACACAAGCACAUACAAUCACUUCCUUGUACUUCAGAAGUUUUAAAGAAAUUCUAUUUUAUUUUCCAUAUGGAUACAUUGAGUGUACUUUUACCAUCUUUGCUGUUGGUGCUUGUCUUGAUUUCCAUUUAGUUCCAGUUCCUUACUCAAAAAGCAUUGCAAAAACAUUGUUAAAAACUAUUAGUUUUUUUUUUUUGUUUUAUUUUUGUCUCCCAACAGCUUUUUCUGUUUCUCAUCAUAACAACUUUUUUUCUUUUUUUUUUUUUUUUCUUUCAGAACAUUUUUCACUUCUGUUAUGGCUCAGCCUUGACAUUAAAUGCUGUAAAUAAUACUUAAAAUAUUUCUUUUCUAAAAGAAAAGAGAGAAAUAAAAAAAAUUUUAAAAAUCAUACAUAAAGAAACUAAAACUAAUAAAUAAUAAUGAUAUACAGAAAUAUAUUAAAAAAAAAAAAAAAAUUGAGAUUAAUAAAUUUUAUGGAUAAAUGAAAAUAUUCAUCUCCUGAAACAAUUAUGGAAUUUUAAAUAUGGAAACUCAAUUCUGAAACAAUCAAUCAUUUAUUUUUAUUUUAUUAUAAUAAUAAUUAUUAUUAUUAUUAUUUUGACAUCUUAUUCUUAUUUUUAAUUAGAAUUAUCACUUUUUUUUUCUUUGUUCAACGCCUCUCAAGUUUUGAUGUACAAUGCAGUGUCAAGUGUAAAUAGACUGCUUCCAUCUAACCAAAUGCUUGUGUGUUUUGGAAACAUGUGAAUAAAAUGUCAAACUACUUUGUUACAUAUUAAC